UGCGGAGCUACCAUGCAGUCGUACGAGAAGGUUCCUUCGGGAACUGGAGAGUGGCGCACGGGUGAGUAACGCGUGGGGACCUACCUUUUAGUGGGGGAUAACGGUUGGAAACGACCGCUAAUACCGCAUACGCCCUUCGGGGGAAAGAUUUAUCGCUAAAAGAUGGACCCGCGUUGGAUUAGAUAGUUGGUGAGGUAACGGCUCACCAAGUCAGCGAUCCAUAGCUGGUUUGAGAGGAUGAUCAGCCACACUGGGACUGAGACACGGCCCAGACUCCUACGGGAGGCAGCAGUGGGGAAUAUUGGACAAUGGGCGCAAGCCUGAUCCAGCCAUGCCGCGUGAGUGAAGAAGGCCUUCGGGUUGUAAAGCUCUUUCAGAUGCGAAGAUGAUGACGGUAACAUCAGAAGAAGCCCCGGCUAAUUUCGUGCCAGCAGCCGCGGUAA
rnacentral:rRNA from 1 species